GACGUAGGGAACUAGCGUUGUUCGGAAUUACUGGGCGUAAAGAGCGCGUAGGCGGUCUUGCAAGUUGGAAGUGAAAUCCCGGAGCUUAACUUCGGAACUGCUUUCAAAACUACAGGACUAGAGUUCGGUAGGGGGUGAUGGAAUUCCUAGUGUAGAGGUGAAAUUCUUAGAUAUUAGGAGGAACACCGGUGGCGAAAGCGGUCACCUGGCCCGAAACUGACGCUGAGGCGCGAAAGCGUGGGGAGCAAACAGG
rnacentral:rRNA from 1 species